rnacentral:rRNA from 1 species
UGGGGAAUUUUGGACAAUGGGCGCAAGCCUGAUCCAGCCAUUCCGCGUGAGUGAAGAAGGCCUUCGGGUUGUAAAGCUCUUUCGCAAGGGAAGAAAACUUACUCUCUAACAUAGGGUGAGGUUGACGGUACCUUGAUAAGAAGCACCGGCUAACUACGUGCCAGCAGCCGCGGUAAUACGUAGGGUGCGAGCGUUAAUCGGAAUUACUGGGCGUAAAGCGUGCGCAGGCGGUUUUGUAAGUCAGAUGUGAAAUCCCCGAGCUCAACUUGGGAACUGCGUUUGAAACUACAAGACUAGAAUAUGUCAGAGGGGGGUAGAAUUCCACGUGUAGCAGUGAAAUGCGUAGAGAUGUGGAGGAAUACCAAUGGCGAAGGCAGCCCCCUGGGAUAAUAUUGACGCU